GAUGAACGCUGGCGGCGUGCCUAAUACAUGCAAGUCGAGCGAACAGACGAGGAGCUUGCUCCUCUGACGUUAGCGGCGGACGGGUGAGUAACACGUGGAUAACCUACCUAUAAGACUGGGAUAACUUCGGGAAACCGGAGCUAAUACCGGAUAAUAUAUUGAACCGCAUGGUUCAAUAGUGAAAGACGGUUUUGCUGUCACUUAUAGAUGGAUCCGCGCCGCAUUAGCUAGUUGGUAAGGUAACGGCUUACCAAGGCAACGAUGCGUAGCCGACCUGAGAGGGUGAUCGGCCACACUGGAACUGAGACACGGUCCAGACUCCUACGGGAGGCAGCAGUAGGGAAUCUUCCGCAAUGGGCGAAAGCCUGACGGAGCAACGCCGCGUGAGUGAUGAAGGUCUUCGGAUCGUAAAACUCUGUUUUAGGGAAGAACAAAUGUGUAAGUAACUAUGCACGUCUUGACGGUACCUAAUCAGAAAGCCACGGCUAACUACGUG
rnacentral:rRNA from 1 species